rnacentral:rRNA from 1 species
AGGACGAACGCUGGCGGCGUGCUUAACACAUGCAAGUCGAGGGAGAACCACAGCGGGGGUAACCCUGCUGUGGGGAAACCGGCGAACGGGUGAGUAACACGUGGGCAACCUGCCCCAGACUCUGGGAUAACCUCGGGAAACCGGGGCUAAUACCGGAUACUCUCAUCGAACCACAUGGCUCGAUGAGGAAAGCUCCGGCGGUCUGGGAUGGGGCCCGCGGCCUAUCAGCUUGUUGGUGGGGUAACGGCCCACCAAGGCGACGACGGGUAGUUGGCGUGAGAGCGUGGCCAACCACACUGGGACUGAGACACGGCCCAGACUCCUACGGGAGCAGCAGUGGGGAAUCUUGGGCAAGUGGGCGCAAGCCUGACCCAGGCCGACGCCGCGGUGGGGAUGAAGGUCCGUUCGGGUUGUAAACCGUCGUUUCGGCGGGAAGAACGCCGCAAGGUGACGGUACCGCGAGAAGAACGCCCGCUAACUACGUGCCAGC